rnacentral:rRNA from 1 species
AUAACUUUUAACAAUGGAUCUCUAGGCUCUCACAUUGAUGAAGAACACAGUGAAAUGUGAUAAGUAAUGUGAAUUGCAGAAUUCAGUGAAUCAUCAAAUCUUUGAACGCAUCUUGCACUUUUUGGAAUUCCAAAAGGUACACCUGUUUGAGUGUCAUGAAAUAUAUCUCAUUCAAAAAGGUCUCAAUUUUGAAUGGAUUUUGAGUGUUGCCAAGUCUGGCUCACUUUAAAUAGAUGAGUUAAUUUUCUUAUGCUAAUAAAUUUGAUUGACUUAAUGUGAUAAUAUAUCCUCAUUAACAAGUCAAAUUUGGAAUAAGAAAAGAGACCUAAUGUUGAAUGCUUUCAAACCUUU